UGAAGGGUUGUGUUGAUGCGAGGACAGGGGAACAGAGGAUGGUGUGAGAAAGGGUGAGAGAGAGAUUGGUUUUGGACAGAAGGUGUAGCGAAUGAGAUAUGUUGUUGAGUGGAGCUGUGCGACUUUGGUCGGAAUUUGGAGUUUGAGGAGUGGAGGGUUUGGAUAGGUUUCGCGGAGGAGAAGAUGCGAGAAUUGUCGGAAGAGACGACAUCAUAACUAAAUGGCGACGAGAGACGAUGAGUGGAAGCGCCAAGAGGAUAAGAAACAAAAUAAAGGGCUCAUUCUUGUAAAAUUGGAUAAACACUAAAAGAUGAUGUCAAAACUGUAAAUAACUACUUUUGUCAAUUAUUAAUUUACAUAAAAAAAAAAAAAAUUGAGAACUAUUAAUUUUAGAUACAAUUGCCAAAACAAUUUCCCAAUUUAUCAACAAAUUUUCCCAGCUUUUUGUCUAUACUAUUUUUAGGGCAAUUCUCUUAAAUAACAAUUUUUAAGUUUUUGUCACAAAAAUAGUCUUCAAAAAGAAAAUGACAAAAAUAGCUCCAUUUUAUUUUGAAAUUUUUAAUAUUUAUUUUUAUUUUUUUUAAAUUUGAAAUCUUAUCAUCAAAACCCCCUAAUUCUAGAUUAGUUAACCCUAGAGUCAAAAUACAUUUUUACUUUUCGAUAAAACUUAUUUUGUUUAUUUUCUUCAUUGAACGUUAUUUUGCGACAAAAACUUAGAAAGAUAUAUCUUAGAAAAUUUCUCCUAUUUUUAUCACGUUAAUUAAUGAUUUUGUCUUUUCUCUAAGUAUUUUGGUUUCAGUUAAAUAAAAAUAACAUUACAUAUGAAAGAAAUUUUAAUAGAUUAUUUAUUUUUGCUUAAGUCUUAAGAAGAGAAAAAAAAACUCUGUAUUGUCAAACACUACUGUUUUGAUUUUCCAUCUAACGACAGUGAAUUCUGAUUUAUUCAUAAAAUUUAAGAUGAACAAAUUUAAAAUGUAAACCUAUAAUAUUUUACACAAAUUUAGAAAAAAAUAAAUACUUGCGUCUCUGUUUCCCUCCUCUCUCUAUAUAUUAUGGCAAAACAAACUGGAUACAUUUUACACAACACAAAGCUGAUCCCAUCUUAAUAAACUAAUGAGAUGAGUUAUGUUCAUCGUCUGAAGAUGAAGAAGAAGAAGACUGCUUUCGUCCGAAUAGUCCAGGCAGAGGCUGUGGCAGCAUUGGGUUCACAGGAACUGGAAACUUGUGAGCAGAACUAACCAUUGUUCUUUCGUUUAUCAUCCCUACUUCUUUGCAGACUCUGUCCACUACUCCGAGGAAGUCUCGAACCACCAAGAAUAUCCUAAACGGAUGUGCUUCUUCUUUAGCCGAGUUCCCAUGGAAAUACUCUGUGAUCUCUUUCACGAGAGACAACGCUACGCUCUCUUGAGCUUGUACUCUGAUGAUGUCUUCUUCAGCUCUUUUCAGAAACGUGUUCAUCGAUUCCAAAAACCUCUCGCUACUGCUGCUGCCGCUUUCUUCUCUGACCGUUGAUUGGAUUUGGACUGCUUCGUUGAUCUUGGCAAUGCCUUGGGAAAGCUUGGAGACGUAGCUGCUGAGUACUUCCGAGUCCAUUGCCGCAGCUUUCUUGACGUUGCCAAGCUCUGAAGAUAGACUUGAUACAACUUGGAGGCCGAGUUUCCUGCAUUUGAUGUCAUCCGUUUGUGUAUUGUUGUCACCUGAGAGACGUGUGCCUUCUGCUCGGAUGAUCUCUUGAACAACGAAAUGCAAGAGAGUUGUUUUCCCAUCAGCGCCUUUGACAUCGACCAGCUUGAGGAGCGUGUCGAGCUUGAACGCAUGUGCGUCGCCUCGGUUCGUCCCAACGUUCAUGCGGUUUCCUGUCUUUAGAACCGCUUCUAGAAGCUUUAAGAACAUUCUGCUGUUCCUCAGUUCCUCACAAGCAGCCUACCCCAUAAAAGGUUUGAUUCGUUACAAACACAAAUGGUAGCAAGAGAGAGAGAAGAUAGCUUUGCUUUAUACAUUACCUCAAGAGUCUGGAAAGAGUUCUUCAGGUAUUCAACCUCGGAGUCAAAGUUAGCUACAUAGAGCAUUGCGUCAACUCUUUUAAAGGCAAAAGGGAUGUCUAGCAUUGCCUUGAGGAACUUCUCAGCAUGUCCAAGCUUUACAGGCGAAUCAUCCUUGUACUCUUUUAACCUGCGCUCUUCCUCUUUCGUUGGGGCCAUCUUGAGUAAGCUCUCUAGAAGUUCAGUCCCAAGUGUUUCGGCAUUGCCUGAAAAGCAUAACAUAACAACAAUCAUUCAGGACAUCAACUUCUUAGAUCAUAGCUAAACAAACGCAGAUGAAAUGUGAAACUAAGUAUGUGACAGCAUAGGUUACCUUCAAGAAGCGCUUCACAGACUUCUUCAAUAGUGACAUUAAGUGCACGAAGCAGGAUUGCAAUAUUCUGAGCCUUCUUAGGGUCCAAGACUCUGUUCUCUUGAUUCGGGCUUGGGAGAGCGCAUCUUGGAGUAGUCUGGCUCUGAUUUGGUUUGGAGUCUAACGACUUUGCCACAAACAACGUUUCAAUCAUCUCUUCAUCUAAUCUGCAAUCACACCAAUAAAAUUUCAACAACCAUAUUGUGACAAAGAAACUAUGAGAUUAACUCACUUGAAAGAGCUUGAACGAAGCUGAUCCCAGACCAUCUCACGGUCGGAACUUGCUCUGACUUUAUCCCAGUGCAAAGCCUUAAGCUUCGGUUUAGGAGUUUCCUCUGCAGGCUCAUUGGCACUGAACGUCUCUUUUAGAGUCUCUUCUGGUGAAGUCUUUGGAAGGUUUUCGGAUGGGAUCACAAAAGGAUUCGAAGGCGGCGUGAGAGGAGGUGGUCGGGACGCCUUAGGAGUCGCUUGAUUCCGUCGUGCCCAUGUCGGAAACGGUGGAGGAGGUGGCGGAGGCGGCACUCGUGCAGACACCGGAGGCUGUAGAAUCUGAGAUGAAAUGUUGGAGAUUCGUGGAGAUACAUCUAAGCUAUGGCUAAAGUCUCUAUCCGGAGAAGACGAAAGAGACGACGACGAGGCAGACUGUGGAUCGUGAGAAGCUUUCUCCGGCGGCGACUUGUGAGAAGCUUUCUCCGAACGCAAUGCAUCCAACUCGUUAAGGAAGCCUUGUCCCGGGCGCCGCCUUUGAUGUAAUAAGCCUCUUUAAAUCCAUUCUCAACCAGCAAUUCAGCCACUUUCAUGGAGUUACCAUCAAAACUGCCUUCCACAUCAAAACAUGUAAGACAAACACAAAGCAAUAUCUUAAAAAAAGUAUGAAGCUUUUGGUCUAAAUCCUUACUUGUCAAGUACACAAACAACUGUGUUCUCCGGAUCAGAGAAUCCUCCUUUAACUCUCUUCACGAACCCCGACUCAUCUUCCUCACUAUACGGAACCUGAACCGAGCUCUUACCCAGAAACUUGAGACUCGGCGACGCCAACGAGGCCAACGUCUUGUCGUCUCUGAUAUCAAGAAGCUGCGAAUCAGGCUGGCUCUUGAGCUUAAGAAACGCGUUGAUGGCGGUUAUCGGUUUAUACUUCCUCAGGUAGAAGAUCGCCGCCGGGUAGACGACGAGGUAGAUGAAUGUGCAUCCCGCCACGAAAAACGGGUACUUGUUGAAAAAGUUGUCGAUCGUGAUCAGAAUCGACUCCAGAUCGAUUUUUCCGGUGGAUUGGUCGGAGAUUGAGGUGAAGGGUUGUGUUGAUGCGAGGACAGGGGAACAGAGGAUGGUGUGAGAAAGGGUGAGAGAGAGAUUGGUUUUGGACAGAAGGUGUAGCGAAUGAGAUAUGUUGUUGAGUGGAGCUGUGCGACUUUGGUCGGAAUUUGGAGUUUGAGGAGUGGAGGGUUUGGAUAGGUUUCGCGGAGGAGAAGAUGCGAGAAUUGUCGGAAGAGACGACAUCAUAACUAAAUGGCGACGAGAGACGAUGAGUGGAAGCGCCAAGAGGAUAAGAAACAAAAUAAAGGGCUCAUU
rnacentral:lncRNA from 1 species